AGGCCAGUAGUUCUUUUACCUCUGGAAAUGACAGUUGACCCAUUUCUGGACAUAACAAUGCUUGUCUCAGCUGCCAUUUCUAAACUGAAAUAAAUUAUCAAUGCUAUCAAAAGGGAAGAAGUUGAAGCAACUCCAGUAAGUAUGAAUAAUCCCCUGAAGUUGGCAAAUGAAUCUGAGAACCCCGGGGUACCUCUUUGGACUCUCCUGGCCAGAUCACAGGAUAUAGGUCACGCGCUGAUCCCGAAAGUGCUGUUGCAGCUGCCUGUCUGAAACGUCAAAAUUGCCACUGAGGCCUUCAAAUUGAUUCUGCAAGAUUUCUUGUAAUAGUUUUGGACCAUUACCAGAUGUUUUCAAGGUUUCCAAGCUUGUUGAGUUUCUUGUGACACCUGGUUUUGUAAACGUGGCAUUGUUGGAGGCUGAUACAUACAACAAUUCCUGUGAGUGAGUCAAUGUUGCUUCUCUGCACACUAACAAGUCAACCACUACAGACCAAAAUUUUGAACACCAGAUUCAACAACUGUUGCCGUUACAGUAGCUAAAAGUUGCAAUUCUUGAUUUUCAGGGUCCUAAGAUGCACAAUUGACGGUCUGAGUGUUCAGUUCGUCCAUUUCAGCAGUAAAAGGUAAAGCAGAAUAAGCCAAUGCAGUGAA